rnacentral:lncRNA from 1 species
CCUCUAUGGGUCACGCUAUGGGUCAUGCUAUGGGUCACGCCGUGGGUCAGAUCCUCUGGGUCUCACCGUGGGUCAGGCCAUGGGUCAGAAUUGCUAUGGGUCAUGCUAUGGGUCACGCUAUGGGUCAGGCUGUGGGUCAGAUCUGUUGUGGGUCUCGCCGUGAGUCAGGUUGUGGGUCAUCUCCUCUAUGGGUCUCACCGUGGGUCACGCCGUGGGGCAGAGUUGCUAUGGGUCUCGCUAUGGGUCAGAUCCAUUGUGGGUCUUGCCGUGGGUCAGGUCAUGGGUCAGAAUUGCUAUGGGUCACACUAUGGGUCACGCCAUGGGUCAGAGUCGCUAUAGGUCACGCUAUGGGUCAGAGUUGCUAUGGGGCUCAUCGUGGGUCUCGCUGUGGGUCAGAUCCAUUGUGUGUCUCGCCAUGGGUCUCGCCGUGGGUCAGGCUGUGGGUCAGAGUCGCUAUGGGUCAGUCGCCAUGGGUCAGAGUUGCUAUGGGUCAGAGUCGCUAUGGGUCAGGCUGUGGGUCAGAUUCUCUAUGGGUCACGCUAUGGGUCAGAUCUGUUGUAGGUGUCGCCGUGGGUCUUGCCGUGGGUCAGGCCGUGUGUCAUCUCCUCUAUGGGUCAUGCCGUGUGUCUCACCGUGGGUCUCGCCGUGGGUCAGAGCCGCUAUGGGUCUGGCCGUGGGUCGCGCCGUGGGUCAGUAGUUCCCGCCGCUCUCCUGUCCCCUUUGCGGUACCCGUCCUUCUGAUCUGUGGGGCAGAGAGACGAAACACCCAUAACUUAUGGGUCCAAGGGCAGGUUGAGGAGGUGUGGGGCGGGAUCUAUGGGGCAGGAUCUAUGGGGCAGGAGCUCGGAAGGAGCCCCCAAAGGAGCCCUGCUCGUGCUCCAGGACCCGCUCCUUGUUCUCCAUCAGGGUCCCCAGUUUCUCGGCCAAUUGCAGCGCCAGGUUCUGCUGCGCCGUGGGCUCCGUCCGCUGCAUCAGCACCAUCGCCGUGGGUUGGUCCAGGGAGGCCUUGGGGGGUGUGGGGCAGAUGUGGGGCAGGGAAACGGGACCCAUAGAUCGCCCCACGGCCGCCCCAUAGCACCCGAAUCACCCAUUCCCCCCUUAAGGAUGGGGAUUUGGGUGAUGGAAAGGGUUAAAUUUCCUUCAUCUGCCCCAUAGAUCUAGGAUAGAAGCCUGUAAAUACCUUCUUCUGCC